GUACCCGGAAGGUCGUCAGCUCAGGCUCCAAAUAUGUAACAGUGAGUUUCUAAGUGAGUCACACGGACGCGGUUGGUUUCCAGUGAGGCAUAACUCAUCGCUUCACUCUUCUCAACGGUUCCCUCUUCGGAAGGAAGCGCAGUCCGCAGCGUCGUCCGAGGGCGUGAUCGCCUGCGUCGCACCCGCGUCUCCAGUGGCCACCCCUUGUCCUACAGGAACGCGCAUCUGCUUAGCAGGCGCUGAGCCCUUGAGGAGGCCUAAAAUGAAUGAACGCGGCUGUGCCUCCUGAGCAGGCUCACAGUUGUGGGUGGGGGACAGAAGGGUGUCCAUGCCUAAGGUCGACGGCGAUAAGACAGACGUUCUUCCCAGGAGGAGAUCAGUUCCAGAACAGGUGGAGAGGUAUGAAGAACGAGGAACACUGCCCGGGGAGUUUCUUCCUCUGCAAAAUAAGGGAGUGUGUACUGAAUUACCGUUUCCAGCUCCAACAUCCAGGAUUUCAGCACUACCUGCAGAGUAGUGGGAGGAGAGAUAGAGGAAGAAGUGAAGAUAAGAAACCACUCGAAGCCGGUGUCUGGUGCUGGGACCGUGGUGGCUGGGACGGCAGCAGUCGUGCUGUCCAUCUGCUCUUCCGAGGGGUGGCACAUCCUAGCCUCUAUCUUUUCCCCAGAGAAGAUCCCCCUCGUCUGCUCUUCCCCCGUCUCAGCCUUUUAGUGUGUGAACAGUUCUGGUGUUACUCAGCAACGCUUUUGUUAGCGCCUUUACCAGCAAGUACUUGUUAAACACUUAAAUCUUACAAGUGGAAAGAAAAUUCCGUGGUAAAUUUAAGUACAAAAGUCAACCAAAAUUCUGAGUCUCGGACAAGACUGGUUAAAAAUCGUUCUACAAUGAAACUAAUAAAUUAAAUCAUAUAAAAC
rnacentral:lncRNA from 1 species